UGCCGCUUGAUAAAAUAAGGUUGUAAUCUGAAUUUUCAGAAAACAUUAAUAGGGAAUCAAGUUGAAUUCUUGAGCUGUACCCGCAACUGUAAGCCAUCAAUAGUAUUGUUAUUUUUGUGUCACUGAUUUUAGAUCGGGAAGGCCAACAAUUACUAAGCAAGCCAGGAGACCUGCCUAUUUUUUAUUAUACAU
rnacentral:ncRNA from 2 species